GAAUGUGAGGAUGAUCUGGCUGCAGCAUAUGUCACCCUGUUGAUCAUCAGGCUCAAUUCAAUGAAUCUGGCUGGCUAAGUGAGUGUCCUUUUCCUCCCUCAUGAUUCUUUUGAGGACUUCCUAAGGCUGGGUACUCAGUGGAAAAGGGUGUCCACCCUGACAGAGAAAGACCCUUUCUCAUAAGUCAAGAGAAUAGGAGUAACUGUGCUCUCUUGCUAGAACCCACAAUUAAGUGCUCCAGAGUAUCUUUUAAUGUCUGAUUUCUUUCAUUUAAUUCAUAGUU
rnacentral:snRNA from 1 species